rnacentral:lncRNA from 1 species
GUCUGAUGCAGAAGCGGAGUUUCGCUUACGUCAGGGUGGUGUAAAAGGGCCAGAACUAAAAGUCUCUGAGGAUGAAGAAGAAGAAGAAGCUGAAGAAGAAGAAGAAGAAGCAGAAUGUGCUUCUCGCAGUGUGACAGAAGAUCCAUGCAAGCCACCCAGCCCUAUCCAGCCCUCUAGUGACAGUGCUCUUCCUCUGUCUCCAGCUGCGAGUCCCAAAGCAAAACAAGCAGAGGAUGUAGAAGAUCCCCUGGCUGAAGUAUGCCGUGCAAUAAAAUCCCCAGAGCCACGCUUUUUUCCUGAGCCUUUCAUUCGUGAGGAAAUACCAAAGGAUGAAAUUCCCAAAGACAGGAAAGUUAAGAGCCCUUUGGUGCCACCAUCUCCAGUGUUAUCCCAGCCGGUUGCAUCACUAGAAGCCAUUGCACCUCCAUCUCUAGCAGAGUCUCAG